UACGUAGGGGCCGAGCGUUGUCCGGAGUUACUGGGCGUAAAGCGCGCGCAGGCGGCUCGUCAAGCCUGACGUGAAAGCCCCCGGCUCAACCGGGGAGGGUCGUCGGGGACUGGCGGGCUUGAGGUCGGCAGGGGUUGGUGGAAUUCCCGGUGGAGCGGUGAAAUGCGUAGAGAUCGGGAAGAACGCCAAGGGCGAAGGCACUCUGCUAGGCCUGAUUUCGCGACUGACACUCAGGGACGAGAGCCAGGGGAGCGAAUGGG
rnacentral:rRNA from 1 species